rnacentral:piRNA from 5 species
AGCUCAGUCGGUAGAGCAUCAGACU